UCCCUGGCGGUCCAGUGGUUAAGAUGCUGCACUCCAGUGCAGGGGGCAUAGGUUCUAUUCCUGGUCAGGGAA
rnacentral:tRNA from 1 species